ensembl:snoRNA small nucleolar RNA SNORA3/SNORA45 family
CUCGAGACUAGAGUCACAUCUCGACACAGCUCUCGUCCUGGUGUGCUAGAGUCCUCGGAGAGAAUCUGCUGGUCUUGAUUCAUUGGUGGGGCAGUCAGUGCCCCUACUAGUGCCCUGGUCAGAAACAUGC